rnacentral:rRNA from 1 species
UGGGGAAUAUUGGGCAAUGGGGGCAACCCUGACCCAGCGACGCCGCGUGGGGGAAGACGGCCUUCGGGUUGUAAACCUCUUUUGUACGGGAAGAAGGAAGUGACGGUACUGUACGAAUAAGUCCCGGCUAACUACGUGCCAGCAGCCGCGGUAAUACGUAGGGGACGAGCGUUGUCCGGAAUUACUGGGCGUAAAGGGCGCGCAGGCUGUGCUGCAAGUCAGCUGUUAAAUGUCUGGGCUUAACCCGGGCAUGCGGUUGAGACUGCGGUGCUGGAGUGCUGUAGAGGCAAGUGGAAUUCCCAGUGUAGCGGUGAAAUGCGUAGAUAUUGGGAAGAACACCGGUGGCGAAGGCGGCCACCUGGACAGGUACUGACGCUGAGGUGCGAAAGCGUGGGGAGCAAA